UACGAAGGGGGCGAGCGUUGUUCGGAUUUACUGGGCGUAAAGGGCGCGCAGGCGGCGUAUCAAGUCAGGCGUGAAAGCCCCGGGCUUAACCUGGGAACUGCGUCUGGGACUGGUAUGCUAGAGAUCGGGAGAGGAGAGUGGAAUUCCCAGUGUAGAGGUGAAAUUCGUAGAUAUUCGCAAGAACACCAGUGGCGAAGGCGGCCGGCUGGGGGUGACCUGACGCUGAGGCGCGAAAGCGUGGGGAGCGAACCGG
rnacentral:rRNA from 1 species